rnacentral:lncRNA from 1 species
ACACAGGGGCCGAGUGCGGGAGAGGACAUGCGUCUUUAUCCCACAGCAGAGGGAAACCUCCCCAGGCCUCUAGUCCAGGCCUGACCCCUAUCGGGGUGGCCUUUGGGAGGGAGGGUCCCUUGGGAUGCUAGGUAAAGAUCGGGGAGGUCAGGGCGGCAGGAGCCGGGCUGGCAGGAGGCUGACGGUCCCUGCAGGUGCAUAAAGGUGCAGGAGAACUGGCAAGACCCCAAGAAUGGAUAUGCCUCCUUAAACGUGUGUCCUGUGUGCCCCGCUCACCUUACCCGAGACCCAGCCCCAGCCCCGGUCACAGAGGGAGAAAUUUGAAUAUAAGACACAAUGGAAAUAGCAAAACCAGUUCCACUCUCCUUAGUCUUCUAAACAGAAAGAGGGAUUCGAUGUGGGAAGCAGUAAAAGUUUAUUCCACACCAGGAGAUUUUAUGUUUUUGCCCCUAGAGCACUUUUCCCCUUGUUUUACUCGUGUUUUGGAAAUCUAGAAGACUUGCAAGUAUGGAGGAAAACAAUGAAAACAGCCUAACUGUUGGAUAUUUUUAAAAGAAAAUUCAGCAGAGCAGUUUACCCCCUUCCAGAUGUGGUUUCGCAUGGGCACAGUGGGACGGAAACUAGAUUCUCAACAGCAAAAGCCUUAUUUUCACUGAGAGUGGUUGAAGGAAAAUUAUUGUAUGCUGUUAAAAGAACUGAAAAACAGCAUGUGAAUCUCAUCAGCUGGAUAUAUUGUGACAACAUCAGCUGAUUGUUAUGCAUCUCAAAAUAUGAAACUCCAUCAAUUUUUCUAAAUUUGCUUUUGCACAUCAGUGGAACUUGAGCGAGCUAUCUAUCUAUCUACCUACCUAUCUAUCUAUCUAUCUAUCUAUCUAUCUAUCUAUCUAUCUAUCUAUCAUCUAGUCUAGAAAGCUGAGAAGGAAAGCAGAGACCAAAAGCCCAGCUGGAAGGGCACCUGUUGGCUGCAUCUGUUGACUGCACCUGUUAGUAGCAUCAGGAGGCACACCUGCACAAGGUGUGGAGUAGUCUGGGGGCUUGUGGGAGAGGGAGAUGAUCUGAUCGACACCACCAGUCUUCCCGCAUCCUCAGCACCACCUCCAUCCUCAUCGGAUGUAGAUACACUAUCCAGCCUCAGUGACUCGCUCCAGCUCACGCACCUGCUACAUGGACAUCGUGGAGGCCAAGCUUCUGAUCUUGGCAGGACAGUGGCUCUGCACAGCUGACCAUUUGACACCCCAGGACCUAGGGAUGGACAUGGUGAAAUAUAACAUUCUGAUCUGGCCCUAAAUCUGCUGCUUGGUCACAGAAGGCCAAGGGAAGGCUUAUGCGGUUAAGGGAAAAAACUCACCCGAAGCAUAUCAAGUGUUGUCUGCUGUCAUCAGGCUCUGAGCAGUUCUCUCUACAAUGAUGCUUAGAAAACCAGGAAGAAAUACUCCCACCUCCAAGGCUGUGUUGCUAAGUGUGUGUUUCCAGAGUUGCCUUGGGCAAAGUCCGUUGCCCAUCACCACAGCUUCGGGUCAUCGCUGCCACGAGGACUCCCCCUUCACAGGAAGAAGGGAAUCCACGCUUCCCUGCCUGCUUGGCCUGAGUUGACGUCCUUGCUCUGGGCUGUGAGGUCUACAUACCUGGCCCUGCAAGGUUCAGCCCCACGCAUGGACCUUCUGUGUCUGCAACCUCCCAGCAUCAGCACGAAAAAGCAACCUGCCGUAGAGAGCGGGGGUGUGGUCCAGCAGUCCUGCACCUGCUGGGAUGUGGAUGAGGCGCAUGCUGAGAACAACCCGGUGGGAAAGGCCUACUUUCUCAAGUGCUCCUUCUGGGAAAACAGCCCCAGGUGUUCAGAGACCAGCUGCAGACCAAACGGCAAAGCUGCAGACCAUCCCCCGCCGGCCUUUGUGACCAAGAAGAAACACCCUGUGAGUUAAGUGUCCAGUUAAAACAUGGAGAGGCCAAGGUGAUGGCUGAGCGGCACUCAGUGUUGGGUCCUUCUGGCUUGGGAAGGGCACGCCCCGUGCCUUGAGCCCUUUGUCACACGUUUUUGUUCCAUGAAACAGAUAAUUGCUGAUUUGGGGACGAUAACCUCAGAUACUAGCUAAACCAUUUUUGAACUUCC